GACGAACCGUGCGAACGUUAUUCGGAAUCAUUGGGCUUAAAGGGCGCGUAGGCGGGCUGGUAAGUCAGGGGUGAAAGCCCACGGCCCAACCGUGGAAGUGCCUUUGAUACUGCCGGCCUCGAGGGAGGUAGGGGCGUGCGGAACUUCCGGUGGAGCGGUGAAAUGCGUAGAUAUCGGAAGGAACACCGGUGGCGAAAGCGGCGCGCUGGACCUCUUCUGACGCUGAGGCGCGAAAGCCAGGGGAGCAAACGGG
rnacentral:rRNA from 1 species